UUUAUUUGAUAGCACCUUACUACUUGGAUAACCGUGGUAAUUCUAGAGCUAAUACAUGCUAAAAAUCCCGACUUCGGAAGGGAUGUAUUUAUUAGAUUAAAAGCCAAUGCCCCUCGGGGCUCCUUGGUGAUUCAUGAUAACUUCUCGAAUCGCAUGGCCUUGCGCCGGCGAUGGUUCAUUCAAAUUUCUUCCCUAUCAACUUUCGAUGCGAAGGUCUUGUCUUCGCAUGGUUACAACGGGUAACGGAGGGUUAGGGCUCGACCCCGGAGAAGGAGCCUGAGAAACGGCUACUACAUCUAAGGAAGGCAGCAGGCGCGCAAAUUACCCAAUCCCGACUCGGGGAGGUAGUGACAAUAAAUACUGAUACAGGGCUCUUUGGGUCUUGUAAUCGGAAUGAGUACAAUUUAAAUCUCUUAACGAGGAACAAUUGGAGGGCAAGUCUGGUGCCAGCAGCCGCGGUAAUUCCAGCUCCAAUAGCGUAUAUUAAAGUUGUUGUGGUUAAAAAGCUCGUAGUUGAACCUUGGGCCUGGCUGGCCGGUCCCCCUCACCGGGUGCACUGGUCCGGCCGGGUCUUUCCCUCUGUGGAACUGCAUGCCCUUUACUGGGCGUGUAGGGAAACAGGACUUUUACUUUGAAAAAAUUAGAGUGCUCCAGGCAGGCCUAUGCUCGAAUACUUCAGCAUGGAAUAAUAGAAUAGGACGUGUGGUUCUAUUUUGUUGGUUUCUAGGACCGCCGUAAUGAUUAAUAGGGACAGUCGGGGGCAUCAGUAUUCAAUUGUCAGAGGUGAAAUUCUUGGAUCUAUUGAAGACUAACUACUGCGAAAGCAUUUGCCAAGGAUGUUUUCAUUGAUAAGGAACGAAAGUUAGGGGAUCGAAGACGAUCAGAUACCGUCGUAGUCUUAACUAUAAACUAUGCCGACUAGGGAUCGGACGAUGUUGUCAUUUGACUCGUUCGGCACCUUUCGAGAAAUCAAAGUGCUUGGGCUCCU
rnacentral:rRNA from 1 species